rnacentral:pre_miRNA from 21 species
AGUAACAGAGCUAAUCUAGCCUCUUCUAGGCUUUGUCUGUACAGUUUCUGCAAACCAGACAUAGCCUGUCAGAGGUUAGGUGAAAUCUGCUAGC